CAUUGGUUGACUAAUAUCCUUUUUCCUCUGCCGGCUAGCUUCCGUUGUUACUGAUGGUAACCUGGAUGGUGUGUUAUAUCUUACUGUUUCCUGUGUUCUGCCCAGGACAAAAUCUGUUUGUUUCUUUAACUAUGACCCAUUUAUUGCUGUAAAAAAGCUUGUUUCUUUUAAACAGAAGACUUACGUUGUACUGGAAUUCCCGAUCAAUAUUAUUAAGCGAUAUCUUUAAACUGAACGAUGUGCAGCAGUGUUCCAAGCUACGUUACGGUAAUCUGGACUGUCAUCUCAUAGAGGACUACAUCUAGCCUAAUGUUACGUAACCAGCUAUGUAUGAAGUGCUAUGUAAACACAACUGGCUGUCUUCAUAAAUCGUACAGUUUAGUGAAUUUGUGACAUAGCAUGCUGCGUAUUAGAAAACAUAAUAAUUUGCCAUGCAGAAAACACGACGUGAGAUUCCUGCACCUUCUUCCUUUGUUCAGCCCCGAAAAACCGGCUAUUUGAGGAAAUACAUUCAACGUACUUGGUUUCUCCCUGGCUCCUGGAAACGCCGGUUCUGUAUUCUGAAUGGAAACAAGAUGUACACCUACGAAAAUGAGGGAUGUAAGGGCACGGAAAAAUCAUCGGGGGUUAUCAAUCUUGACUACUACGAUCUCUGUUUGGAAGGAGGGACUAAAGAAAGCAAACGAGCUUCAAAUGUGUUCAUUAUCACCUCAUCCGUCCUGGGAUGUUUUGAGAAGCAGCACCUGUUCUCAGCCGAAUCCCUGCCUGAGAUGACAGAAUGGCUGAAAACAAUCAAUGAAGCGAUUGCCGAUGAGAGACAUGACCAAAGUAAAGCUAGCCAUAAAAAGGUGAAAGGAAAACAAAAAAAGGAAUAUUUAAGGCCACGAAGUGCCGACAAUAGUCCAAUUUUUCAGGUGACUACUAUUCGACAUACCUCAGACGGAUCUCUUGAACUGCCCUCUGGUGAACGUCUCUAUACACCAACAAAACACAGAGACCGGGGACCUCGUGGACGUCGGCUUCCGCAAAGAAAAACAGUGAUAACUACGGUAGAGUGUGACUUUCCCUCUUUCCUGGAAAAUCGGAGUUUGAGUCUAACACUUAUUCCGGCGGUUUGCUACGAUUCCACUGGGAGGAGAGUAUGAUCUUCGAUAUCGAGCCAGUAGUCUAUCAGAGUUAGAGAAUGUCGAUUUUGACAGGAACGGACCGUGGUUAUACUCCUCAUCAGACAUUUCUGUUCCAAGGCGAACUAAUAGUGGAAGUGCUUUAGCCUUUCAACAUAGUUCAAGCGAGGGAAGCGACAUCGAGGGCGCUUUCGGCACGACAACACUCAACCAAAACUUUUCUUAUACAUGAAAUAUUCCAUGUCCUCAACUCUUACCUGAACGAAGAUUUUCGAAACACAGAAUGAUAGUCAAACAAGAGAAGCCGUCACAAGUUCCAAGGUGUUUAAAAAUACUACUAAUGUCAUUCCGAUCAUUUUAAGACUUGAGAAAAAAACAACAACAACUCAUAUCUUGUCAUGAUUUGAGAAUAAAACUGCCUUCGUGAAACAAACUCAAAGAGAAAUUAAAUUAGUUCUUCUGGAUAGAAUCUUCGAGCAAAAUAGCAGCAACUGACAACAGGGGUUUGUUCACAGUUGACAUGUACUAAAAACUUGUCUUUAGGCCAAAGGGCGGUGAACGCCCCAGGUAUUGCUUCAACAGAAUCCAAGAAAUUAUGAACGCGCUAAAGUGUGACACCAAAAUAAAUAAUUAAAAGCUUAGAUACUACAUAAUCACAUUUUGUGACUAACUAAGGAAUGCAAUUCUGUCUUCAUUAACGGUAAUUUGAUUCUUUUUUUUAUGUUUCGAAAAGAAGAAAUAAUAUUUUUAGGAAACAAAAUAGGAAGUUUAACGCCUAUAAUAAACUAUGAAAGGCAAUAGGAAGUUUAACGUCUAUAAUAAACUAUAAAAGGCAAUAGGAAGUUUAACGCCUAUAAUAAACUAUGAAAGGCAAUAGGAAGUUUAACGCCUAUAAUAAACUAUGAAAGGCAACAUAAUCUUGUUAGUUUGAAGAUGUUUAUAACGUAAUUUCUCUCCAUGAUUCAUUUUUAAUCUAAAGUUAUACAUGAGUUGGUGGAAGAAAAUAACCUUUAUCAAAAGUACUUAAUGUCAAGAGAAAAAAGAAAGAAGUGGUUUUAAGUAACUGUUCAGUAUCGCUUUUGGUACAGUACAUUAAAUUUAUCCGAGAAUAUGCAAACCAUGUCGGCAUAUGUUAAACGGUUAUUCGCCAUACUCUUUGAAGAAUGAGUUAUAACGAAACAAGAUUACUAUACAUUUUGUAUAGUCUAUAGUCACUCUAUACCAUAAUGAGGACAACAUUUUGUAUAGUCUAUAGUCACUCUAUACCAUAAUGAGGACAACAUUUUGUAUAGUCUAUAGUCACUAUACCAUAAUGACGCCAACAUUUUGUAUUGUCUAUAAUCACUCUAUACCAUAAUGAGCCCAACAUUUUGUAUAGUCCAUAUUCACUAUACUAUAAUUACGCCAACAUUUUGUAUAGUCUAUAGUCACUAUACUAUAAUGAGGGCAACAUUUUGUAUUGUCUAUAAUCACUCUAUACCCUAAUGUGGCCAACAUUUUGUAUAGUCCAUAGUCACUAUACUAUAAUUACGCCAACAUUUUGUAUAGUCCAUAGUCACUAUACUAUAAUUACGCCAACAUUUUGUAUAGUCUAUAAUCACUAUACUAUAAUUACGCCAACAUUGUGUAUAGUCUAUAAUCACUCUAUACCCUAAUGAGUACAACAUUUUGUAUAGUCUAUAGUCACUAUACUAUAAUGAGGGAACAUUUUGUAUAGUCUAUAAUAACUCUAUAUCAUAAUGAGUACAACAUUUUGUAUAGUCUAUAGUCACUAUACUAUAAUGAGGGCAACAUUUUGUGUAGUCUAUAAUAACUCUAUAUCAUAAUGAGUACAAAAUAUUACUGCAGCGAAAGAUGAUUCAACUUGGUAAUAGGUGAGGGGUACUAAUGAAAUAGUUAUGUAAUUAAUUCAUAAUGACAUACAAAUUUGUUUAGGAAGUAUUGUUAACUAUGGUAUUAUUUUUCACGAGGUCAAAGCAAUAAUGAGAAUUCUCGCGGUACAUGGAAAUAAUUAAGGAUCAAUACACGGACAACUGACAGAAGAAUAAACAGUAGUGAAGAACCUGAAGUUAAAGUUUCUCUAACUAUUGUCAUUAGUAGUCACAGAAUUCCAAGUGUGAAAAUAGAGGAGGAACGUUCGAGUUUAAAUAAAGCCAUGUCAGGUAACUUUUCAUUUUUGUCUGGUAACUUAUUUCAGCCAAUGAAACUGCUCAAACUCUUUACUUGUUUGGUUUGUAAUUUCAAUUAAAUAUGAUGUUUAGAUGUAAGAGAAAUUGAAUAUUAUGUCUAGUUUGAAAGCGAAUAUAAGUUAUUUCACGAAUUCUUUUUUUAUGCAAGUUCUGGUAAUUUAUUCAACGUAAUAUAACGUAUUCACACAAGCAUAUUUCAGUUGUCAUUUUGAAAUGAAACAUAAAUAUUAAAGCACUUUAAUUUUAAUUUAUUCAUAAACAAAGGCUAGAGUUUAAAAAAUACAUCUGGCUAUUUCAAUCAUGUAAUGAGACAUCGAACGAUCGGAAGGUAGCCAAUUACAGCAGGCUGUUGCGAAGUGGCCACAAGUGUUUCAAGAUGCAGAGAUUUAUGGUGCAAAUAAAUAUCAAACAAAAACGUAUACCACAAAAUAUGUUAAAUAGAUUUUUUAAUGUUCCGGUCCAGGACGUCUUUCUUCUAAUGAUUAUAAACUUUGAAAGUGCCAGAAAAGGCGUAAUGGACCGAAACGUUGUGAUUAUUAAAACAUUUGUUUUACAGUUAUAAUUUCUUGUGAAAUAAAUUCUCUCCCUGUUUUGUCUUCAAGA
rnacentral:misc_RNA from 1 species